CACCACUGUCCCUGCCCUACAGUUUACACUUUUUGUUGCACUGUAAAAUAUCGUUGUAUCAUAAAUACAUUUGUGUUAAACAGACGUCCUUUUUUUUUCUUUUUUAGAGAUGGAGUCUCGCACUGUCACCCAGCCUGGAGUGCAGUGGCACAGUCUCCGCUCACUGCAACCUCCCCCUCCUGGGUUCAAGCAAUUCUCCUGCCUCAGCCUCCCGAGCAGCUGAUUAUAGGCAUACGCUGCCAUGCCCGGCUAAGUUUUUGUAUUUUAGUAGAAAUGGGGUUUCACCAUGUUGCCCAGGCUGGCCUCGAACUCCUGAGCUCAGGCAAUCCAUCUGCCUCGACCUCCCAAAGUGCUAGGAUUACAGGCGUGAGCCACCGUGCCUGGCCCCUUUUUUUAAUUUAAUAUUGUUUCCAAGGUUCAUCCGUGUUGUGGGGGCAUAGAUCAUCCUUUUGCUGAUGUAUAAUAUUCCAUGUGUGACUAUAUCACUGAGUGGUUCCAGCUUUUUGCUACUAUGAGCUAUGCUGAUAUGAACAUUUUUGAUGGCUCCUGGUGCCCAUAUGCAAGAAUUUCACUUGGAUGUGUCUUUUUUUUUCUUUCUUAAACAUUCAGUUGGUGCCAAGCUUGGGUAUAUCUUAAGGACUGGGGUUCUCAGAGAUCCUGCCGUCCUCAGGACACUGGCUCUGCCUUCCAAUUAGCUCCUGUCACUGUAGCGAGAUGUUUGCCACAGACCCAGGCAACACAUCCAUGGCCGACCGUGCCCAGCAGCAGAAGAGGAGCGUGUCUCCUCCUCCCUUUGAUGAAGGAGCAAACCUUUCCCUGGAGCCUCAGGUAGAUGAUCUUGAACUCUAAUUGGCCAGGAGUGGGUAACAGGUUAUUUCUCAAACAUAUUACUGACAAAGAGAAUGGGAUGACCAUAAUGACUCCAGCCAAUCAGGAUUCUCUUGUGAAGAUACGGGGCGGCUGUAGGUGGGCACAGGGACCAGAACAAGAUCAGAGCUCUGCAGGAAGGGGGCAAAGGUUGGGUGGGCAAUUGCAGCUGACAAUGUCUUCUCCACCUCCAUCCCCCGCCAUUCCCCUCUACCUGCAGAAAGCUUCUUCCAGACACCUGUGACUCUGCCUGAGGCUUUUCUCCACUUGCAUUUUUGGCCCACGCAGAAGAAGCCAGAAGUGCUACAGAGUUAGUGCCUCUAGAAGCCACGUUUUCUGAGAGGUGGUGGAUAAUACCCAGCUUCUGAGAGGUGGUGGAUAAUACCCAGCUUCUGAGAGGUGAUACCCAGCUUCUGAGGGGCGGUGGGUGACACCCAGCUUCUGAGAGGUGGUGGGUGACACCCCGCUUCUGAGAGGUGGUGGGUGAUACCCAGCUUCUGAGAGGUGGUGGUCAGCUUCUGAGAGGUGGUGGGUGAUACCCAGCUUCUGAGAGGUGGUGGGUGAUACCCAGCUGCUGAGAGGUGGUGGUCAGCUUCUGAGAGGUGGUGGGUGACACCCAGCUUCUGAGAAGCUUCGUUGCCCCUCACUUGGGAUCACUGGCAUGUUUUGGCACCGCCUCCCAGAGUCCUCCCAGAGGACUGAGCUGUGGUUGAGCACAGAGGUAGCUGGCAGGAUAAUGAAAACUUUAUUAACUGUCCUGCCUUCCCUGUCUCACUUGCCCACUCCUCCACCCGUGUUUCCUAAGACCCUCUCGCAGAUAAACUCUGCACUCAAUUCCUAGUCUUAGAGUUUGCAUUUGGGGGAACUCAAACAAACACAACAACCAACACAGCAGCCAACAGUCCCUGUGCCAGGGAUGUGUGAGCAAGAUGGGAGACUGGGUUGGAUGCUGGAUAGAUGGGCUGUUGGCUAAGGAUAGAAAAUUAGAAGUCAUCAGCAUGUAGGACAUGAUUGCAGCUGUGAAUGUAGAUGAGAAUACCUUAAUAUACAGACAGAGCUUCAAGAACAGAGUCCUUAGGCCAAGCUCGGAAAACACCAACAUUCAGAGGCUUCUCGACAUUCCCUUUAGAAGGGAAGGUUUAUGUGCAAAGGAGGCGGAAUGGCCUAGAAUCACGAGGAUGGUGUCCCAAAAGCCGGGCAGAUACAACAUUUCAAGAAGGAAAGAGUGGUCAGGAGUGUCAAAUGUUGCUGGCAGGUCAGGGACAACAAGGACAAAGGUUGUCCACUGGAUUCGAUGACUCGGAAGGACACUGGUGACGCUCGAUGGCUCGGAAGGACACUGGUGACGCUCGAUGACUCGGAAGGACACUGGUGACGCUCGAUGGCUCGGAAGGACACUGGUGACGCUCGAUGGCUCGGAAGGACACUGGUGACGCUCGAUGGCUCGGAAGGACACUGGUGACGCUCGAUGGCUCGGAAGGACAGUGGUGACGCUCGAUGGCUCGGAAGGACACUGGUGACGCUCGAUGGCUCGGAAGGACACUGGUGACGCUCGAUGGCUCGGAAGGACAGUGGUGACGCUCGAUGGCUCGGAAGGACAGUGGUGACGCUCGAUGGCUCGGAAGGACAGUGGUGACGCUCGAUGGCUCGGAAGGACAGUGGUGACGCUCGAUGGCUCGGAAGGACACUGGUGACGCUCGAUGGCUCGGAAGGACACUGGUGACGCUCGAUGGCUCGGAAGGACACUGGUGACGCUCGAUGGCUCGGAAGGACAGUGGUGACGCUCGAUGGCUCGGAAGGACAGUGGUGACGCUCG
rnacentral:lncRNA from 10 species